GUUUUCACCUCUUUAUUCUUCUUUUUUUUCCUUUUCACCUCUUUUGUUUCGUUCUCACCCUGCCCUGAACAAAACGCAGAACCAAACGAAAUGAAGAUGGACUUGAAGACUGAAGUUGCAUUAGAGAUGGACUUGGAGAUGGGCCAGCGAUACAUUUGUGACUUAUGGGGCCGAAGCAGUGCCCUUUCACGGCAGUAAUUUGAGACACCCGUUAUCCAAAAUAAGGCAGCACGAGAUUUGGAAUCAUGGUCGGGGAUCGUUGCUUCUCAUUGUUUCAAUUGUAGAGUAGCAAUCAUGAUGCCCACCAACUGUUCGAUGAAAGGCCAAAGAAAACCUCUGCAGCAAUUUCCUUGCUAAAUUUUAUUUGAGGUAGUGUUGGUGAGCUUUGUCUUAUUGAUUCCACGAACAAGGUUUAAUUGAUCUGUUUAUAACCCAGCAUCCGGCUCUAUGUAUUAAUUGCUUGAGCCGUCCGACUUCACGAGUCCAUAGCCUUUCGACAACAAGCCAUAUUAUUAAUUUGACCAAUGAGCAGCUUUUCUUUUUGGUCUGCUACA